UUACGGCCAUAUCACGUUAAAAAACCGGUCCCCGUACGAACAACGAAGUUAAGCGACGUCGAGCCAAGUCAGUACUUAGACGGGUGGCCGCAAGAGAAUACCAGGUGCUGUAAG